CAGUUUAAAAAAUCUUGACAAAUUGCAAUCCAAUUGUUUGGUUGGGUUUGUUGGUUUUUUUGGUUGGUUGGUUUUUUUGUUUUUUUUUUUUGCUCUCCCUUUCCCCCACCCUUCCUUCUCAGAGUGACUUUGAAGAUGACAUUUGUAUUUCUGAAUUAAAACCACAUUUGCCCAAUACUGCAGAUGGGGGAGGCAAGGGCAGAAGAGAGAAGAAAAGCUUUUGUUCUCCUCCUCACAGUGACCCCUCACCUGCCAGGGCCAAGCUCCACAAUAAUUUCUAACAGCUGAGGUUAGUCAGGGACACCUAAUCCCAAAAAGCUGGCUCUGAAUUCCAGCACCAGCACACAGUGUUUGAGUUCCACCAACAGCCAUUUACAUCUAAUUCUCCCAAACAUCUGAAGUGUGAGUAUAUGUACAGGUGUGUGCUUAUUUAAUAAAAAAAAAAAAUUUCCAUAAAUCUGAGUCCAAAUGUCAUCAGCAGCAGUGACAACAUAAUGUUUUUUAAAGCUAAGCAAGUUCAGGAACUGUUUUGAGGAUGCACUGGGAUCUUUUGAGUGUAGCCUAAGCAGCCAUGUCUACAGGAUGCUCAAUAAUUGUGAUCCUCAGCCAAAGGGAGGGCUGAGUUCCAUUCCCUGAUUUCCUGCAAUGGAAAAGGAGUGUUCUGUGCAAAUGGAACUGAAAUAAUCUUGCUGAGUGUGCUGAGACCUGUCCUGUGUGUCUCCAGAAGGGGCUGAGGAGGAUCCUGGCUGCACAACAGAGAAAAACCUCCCAGGGCUCAGCUGAUGGGAGGAUGUGACAGCAACGGGCUCGCUCUGAAAGAAAUGCACCUUCCCAGGCAAACAGGGAUCAGUGCACCUGUCAAGAUCCCACUCUGGAACAGAAGAUCAGAGCAAAUGGGGGCUGAGGAGAACAAAAGCUGCCCCAAACCUUUGACCUAAAUUUAACAUAAAGCCAAAUGAAACCUUAGAGGUUUGUAUAUGUUCAUAAAACAUUUCUACCUCCUGGUCCCCUUUCCUUUAUCUUUGGUUUC
rnacentral:lncRNA from 1 species